rnacentral:rRNA from 1 species
AUGGACGCGCUCAUCUCGGCGGCGCUCGAGGAGGUGUGCGCCCGCCUCUCCUACGGAAUCCCCGUAACCGACCUCUGGCCGGCGCUACGCGGGGCGCUCGAGGCGGCCGGCCUCCCGCUCAGCCCCGCCGUCAAGCGCGUCCUGUGGGCUCGCCUUCUCGCGCUCCCCGUCAUCAGCCUCGUGGUGGGCGACGGGGAUGGAUCGCCCGUCGCGCCCGGCGACCCGGCGGAGAAGGACGUGGGGGAGGCAGAGGGCGGGGCGUGCGGCUGGUGUCGAGCGCGCCGCUCAGGGAACUUCCUUGGGAUGUAUGGCCACAGGUUCGCUAAAUCGGAGCUCUGA